rnacentral:rRNA from 1 species
UACGUAGGGGGCUAGCGUUGUCCGGAAUCAUUGGGCGUAAAGAGCGUGUAGGCGGCCCGGUAAGUCCGCUGUGAAAGUCGGGGGCUCAACCCUCGAAUGCCGGUGGAUACUGUCGGGCUAGAGUGCGGAAGAGGCGAGUGGAACUCCUGGUGUAGCGGUGGAAUGCGCAGAUAUCAGGAAGAACACCAACGGCGAAGGCAGCUCGCUGGGACGGUACUGACGCUGAGACGCGAAAGCGUGGGGAGCGAACAGG